AACGAACGUUGGCGGCGUGGAUUAGGCAUGCAAGUCGAACGAAUCCCAGAGGGGUAACUCUCUGGGGGAAGUGGCGAAAGGGGCAGUAAGGCGUGGAUAAUCUACCCUCGGGAUCGGGAUAGCUCACCUAACGGUGAGGUAAUACCGGACGACAUGGCGGCGGGGCAUCUCGCUGUCAUCAAAGGUCCGCUGCCCGAGGAGGAGUUCACGUGCUAUUAGCUUGUUGGCGGGGUAACGGCCCACCAAGGCGAAGAUGGCUAGCAGGUGUGAGAGCACGACCUGCGCCACUGGCACUGCGACACUGGCCAGACUCCUACGGGAGGCUGCAGUCGAGGAUCUUCGGCAAUGGGCGCAAGCCUGACCGAGCGACGCCGCGUGCGCGAUGAAGGCCUUCGGGUUGUAAAGCGCUGUCGAGGGGGAGGAAAGCGCAAGCUUGACCUAUCCCUGGAGGAAGCACGGGCUAAGUUCGUGCCAGCAGCCGCCGUAAGAC
rnacentral:rRNA from 1 species